ensembl:snRNA
AAAAAGGGCUUCUGUCAUGAGUGGCACACAUAGAGCAACUUGAUUGCUCUUCGUGCGAAAUCAACAUCAAAAGAUUUCAGAAGCAUAAUUUUUUGGUAUUCGGGCAGCUGGUGAUCGUUGUUUCUGGCACCCUU